UCUCGACCCCCUUUCUGGUUUCGCUCUGCUCCACGAAGGGAACGCCGCCGCCGCCGGCCACCCGCUUCCCGCCGCCGUGAUUUCGGCCAGCUCCGGCCUCCUCCCACGCUGGUACUCUCCGGUGUAGCACCGUGUAGGUAUCCGCCGCAGAUUCCCCCGCCUCCACGGCAUCGUCAUCUAACCCUAGCCGCUUCGCCCCCCGUCUUGAAACCCUAGCGCAGCCGCGGUUCGUCUUCCUCGGCGCCGGUGACCAGGAACCGGUGGGCGCCGUCCAUUUCCUCUGCCACAACUCCUCCCACCCGCGACCUCCCUCCGCGCCUCCGGCCAACGGCCUCCCACCACAUCUCGGCGAACGAGGACGAGCCGAUCUCUCUCCGACGAACUACGACGAUGAACAUCGGAUCCGUACUCCUCCAACCCGUGACUCGGUGCCACUCUGAGACGUGACAUAACCUACUCCUCGAUCCCGUGACGGACCCUCUGGAUCCGAGAAGCUUGUUGAUCUGGACAAGGCUUCGUCCGAAGCGUCGAGCGGCGCCGCUGGUUUGAGAUUGGAGUUGUUUGGGUGUGACCUGGAGAAGCAGGGCGAGUCAGGCAUCCUGGCGGCUGGAGUUGGUUGAGAGGUGGUAUCCUGCACCUUCGCAUAGUCAGUGGUGUCGACGACAACAGCGGUGGGACGGCACUACCGCAACCCCAGCGUAUCAAGUGGCCGCUGCCAUGUGUCGGUGGUGGGCUCGCCACAACCACGGCGGCUCUUGUUCGUCUACAAGCAACCCUACUCCUUUGGAGAAACCGGAGGGGCCAAGUUUGUUAUGUCAGCAGGUCCUGUUCAGAAUCAAAUCAUAACGUGCUAUAGUUGAUUGUAAUCUCACGUGGCCAUGUCAUUUUUCUUGUCCUGCCUGCUGUUCUAUGCAGCUGAGAGCUCCAAGUUCCCAAACGCCAAAAAAUUCAAACACUGAAAUUGGAAAUAGGAUCAAGAUACACAUGUUACUGUGAACUUCCUGAUGGUGCUUCCUGAUGGUGCUGUAAUCAACUGACAAUUCCUGUGAACUCCUUGAUGUUGCUGUGUACUUAUAUGAACAUCUUAUUUGAAUUGCUAUGAAUUUCUUGAUGGUGAUGUAAUCAACUGACAAUUGCUAUGAACUUAUUGAUGGUGCUGAA